AUGGCUCACGGUCAAAGAGGCUAUAAGCACUGGGCGAUGGAUGCAAGGUAUACAGCGAAUGGACAGCCACGAGCAACUAUGUCAAUUUGUUGGCCUGUGGGAAAAAUUGCAGCUGGUGAACUUGUCAACUCAAAGGGACAAAAUCAAGUGGUAUACUCGGCGAGUUCUGCUUAUGAGGUCCAAUUCUCUGCCAGGAUUGAGCAGCCCGGGAUUGCCCGGGUGUGGAGGAGCAAGCUAGAAGGGAAGGUGAAAUUCUACAUGUGGCUCCUGCUGCAGAACAGAAACUGGACUGCCGACCGGCUACAGGCGAGAGGAUGGCCACACAACGCCUCUUGCAAGCUUUGUGACCAGGAGCAGGAGACCGCGGUGCAUCUCACGCUUCAAUGUUGUUAUGCGAGAGAGGUCUGGCAUCUCUUCCUUGGUACCAACGACAGGAUGUACAAUGGUGUGUCUUCGGCAAGUUCAGUUUCAGAUUGGUGGAAGAUGCUUUGUACGCAAAGAGGAGCGCCAGCAAGGACGGAGGAAGAGAUAACUCUGUCGGCAUACAUCGCCUGGCACCUAUGGAAGGAGAGAAACCGUCGAGUUUUCGAGGAUAAGGACCUGACUCCGAGGGCGUUGGUAGACAUGAUUCGUGAUGACAUUACAUUGCUUAGUGAGGCUUUGAGACCCAUCCCUAUGGCAGAGGGGUAG
rnacentral:rRNA from 1 species